rnacentral:rRNA from 1 species
GCAAGUCGAGCGGUAGUCACAACAUUGAUCCUUCGGGUGAUUCGUUGUGGUGAGAGCGGCGAACGGGUGAGUAACACGUGAACAACCUACCCCAAAGUCUGGGAUAGCCCGCCGAAAGGUGGAUUAAUACCGGAUGUGGUCCUUGGUCGCAUGACCGAGGUACUAAAGCUUGUAAUGGCGCUUUUGGAGGGGUUCGCGGUCUAUCAGCUUGUUGGUGAGGUAACGGCUCACCAAGGCUAAGACGGAUAGCUGGUCUGAGAGGAUGAUC